rnacentral:lncRNA from 1 species
AUUUUGUGUAAGGUAAUGUAGGCGUUUGUUUUAUAAAUAAUAUAUUGAGAUAAUAAGUUAAGGAAUUGGGGUUUGGAAUGGAAAGAAUAGAUUGAGGUGAAAGAAUAUAUUGAGGUUAAAGGGUAGAUGGGUUUGGGGUUUGGAAUAUAUGAAGUAGAAGAUAAGGAAGAUGGGGAUUCGGGUUUGGGGUCUCGGAUUUUAGUGAUGUAAACAUAAUACUCGUUAAUUCCUCGUAAAGAAACGUGAAAAUUACGAUAAAAUAUAAAAAUAAAGAACGCGGGCCUCGUUAAUUCUACGUAAACAAAAAUCGUCGUAAAGCACUCGUAAGCCAACGAGGAAAUAACGACGAAAUAAAAAAAAAAAAGCGGGGCUCGUUAAUUCCACGUAAGCAGAAAUCGUCGUAAAGCACUCGUAAGCCAACGAGAAAAUAACGACGAAAAAAGAAAGAAAGUAGGGCUCGUUAAUUCCACGUAGAAUAAAAACUAGAAAAAAAAAGAGAAGAAAGAUACAGGAAUCACAUGUGGCGAGACUU